CUCCACAUAGCUUUGGCCCAGCCAGCUAUGGAGGCCUCCCUUCCCAGCCACAGAAGAGCACGUUCUUGCUUAGUGGGAAAGCCGCCACCACGUAAUUGGUAUCAGAUACACCGACUAGUGAGUGCAAGGAGCAUCC